AACCUGGCUCUGGAGCUGUCCUGGGGUCAUGAUGCCCAUGUGUUCCUCAGCUGGACCAGAAGCAGAGGCACUGCCAACGAGGAGGACCAUAAAGUAGAGUUGAGCAGGCAACUGGGAGAGAAGCUUGGACUCAAAGAUGGAGAGCAGGGCUUCUUGCGGCCAUGCCAGCAGGUCCUGUCUGUACAGCAGAUGUUUGUGGACCCACUCACCUCUGACGACUUGGAGAUCCUGGAGCUCCACAGUGCAGCAGCUCCUGGAGCAGAAUAGAGUGGUGUUUCCUGAUGCAGUGUUUCCUGUGUGGGUGGACCAGAGAACACUCAUCUACAUCCGAAUCAGGUCCUCUCUGGAGAGCAUUCAGAAGACUGGACUUCCUGUAGAACAAUGUCCCAACGCUGCUGGCCUCCAGUGCCCCCAGCAGUGGGGCGGGAUAGAAAUCCUAAAGAACAUGGUCAGGUACAUGCUAACAUGGAACUAUGACCCAGUGAGAGAGUCUCCCCCAUCUCCAACAUCUCUUCCCUCCUCAGUGACUCAGUCUUCAGAGUAUGCAGAGCACCGCCUGUGUCUUCUGGCCCUCUGAGUGCCAGCCUUGGGGUUGACCUCAUUCUGACAUGCAGCCAGCAGAUGGGAGUGUAAUAUCAAUGGUGGCCAGCCAGCUGUGACGUAUGGCCUACUGUCCAAGGUGCUCUCUCCCAAGAGGGUGAGAGAGAGGGCCAAGCUGGCCAUGGAGAAGAAGAAGAAGAGUGGAGGUGCUGGUGGUGCUCCCCAGCCUGGUGAUGAUGCAGGGGACAGGGAAGAGGAAGCCGCUGUACAGUCGUGGCCAAAAGUUUUGAGAAUGACGCAUAUUCAUUUUCAAAGUUUGCUGCCUCAGUUUGUAUGAUGGCAAUUGGCAUAUACUCCAGAAUGUUAUGAAGAGUGAUCAGAUGAAUUGCAAUUAAGUGCAAAGUCCCUCUUUGCCACAUCAGUCCUGUGUCAUGCCAACAGUAAAGCAUCCUGAGACAAUUCAUGUGUGGGGUUGCUUCCCAGCUAAGGGAGUGGGUUCAAUCACAAUUUUGCCUAAGAACACAGCCAUGAAUAAUGAAUGGUACCAACAACCUCCCAGAGCAACUUCUCCCAACCAUCCAGGAACAGUUUGGUGAUGAACAAUGUCUUUUCCAGCAUGAUGGAGCACCUUGCCAUAAUGCAAAAGUGUCUCGAAGAACAAAACAUCAAUAUUUUGGGUCCAUGGCCAGGAAACUCCCCAGACCUUAAUCCCAUUGAGAACUUGUGGUCAAUCAUCAAGAGGCAGGUGGACAAACAACAACCCACAAAUUCUGUCAAACUUCAAGCAUUGAUUAUGCAAGAAUGGGCUGCCAUCAGUCAGGAUGUGGCCCAGAAGUUAAUUGACAGCAUGACAGGGCGGAUUGCAGAGGUCUUGAAAAAGAAGGGUCCACACUGCAAAUAUUGACUCUUUGCAUCAACUUCAUAUAAUUGUCAAUAAAAGCCUUUGCCGCUUGUAAUUAUACUUCAGUAUUCAAUAGUAACAUCUGGCAAAAAUAUCUAAAGACACUGAGCAGACUGACACAAAUAUGAAUUGUCACAUUCUCAAAACUUUUGUCCACGACUGUGGUGUGUGGUGUGUCACCAUACAGAGGAACUGAAAGGAUCUUCUAGAGAGGAAGAGCUCCACAGUGGAAGGGUCUGGGUGAUUACAUGUACAUUAGCCAUGGUCUAAACGUUGAGCACAAUGUAGGCCUAAUCAACAAACUAUUCUCAAUUUUGUAAUUUUUUAAAUGUUAUUUAACCUUUAUUGAACUAGGCAAGUCAGUUAAGAACAAAUUCUUAUUUACAAUGAAGGGCCUAGCAGAAGGCAAAAGGCCUCCAGCGGGGCUGGGAAUUAAAAAAUUAUAAUAUAGGACAAAACACACAUCACAAAAAAGAGACAACACUACAUAAAUAGUGACCUAAGAUAACAGCAUGGCAGCAACACAUGACAACAUAGCAUGGUAGCAAUGCAUAACAAUGCAUGGCAGUAGCACAACAUGGUAGCAGCACAGAACAUUAUUGAGCAAAAUCAUACUACCCAAUCAUAGUUUCUAUUAGCUCUUAGGACAUAGUUUACAGGUUUGUGUAAAUUGAUUCAUAUUGUAAACUGAUUUAUAUUGAAGCUAUAUGUAUUCAAGCAUAAUUGCAUGUCUCAGAUCCCACUAUCCCUGGGAACUAAGCUCCAUUUCGACCCACACUCACCAGUGAUAAUCAAGCCAAUCAAAUCAACUCCUAGAGUAGCCACCAGUAUCUACCUGCAGCCUUUACAACCACAGGUGAGUAACAUUUACAUUUGACAUCAUAUGUAAUUCUAUUGAAUGUAUUGUUCUGAUUAUCCUAACCUUGUACUUUCCAUUUCAUGAGGUAAAUAGAAUGGUGUAACUCAGGGGUAUCAAACUCCAUGGAGGUCCAAGUACAAGGGAGGAGUGAAAACCCGCAGACACUUGGCCCUACGUGGAAUGAACUUGACACGUGGUGUAAAUGUAUAGCUCUUUGGCAGCUGGUUGUAUUGAAUGCCAUGUUGCUGUUUGACCCCUGCCCUGGUGUCCUCCUAGCCUGCGGCAGAGUGAGGUGGAGAUUCAGACUGCCUUCCUGGGUUGGCUGCACACCCAGAGCCACGAACCACUAGCCUGUCUGACGGGCCGCUCCAACACAAUCCUCCUACAGUACCUGCAAUUUAAGGUACACAUAAUGUGUGUCCCAAAUGGCACGUUGUUCCCUUUAUUGUCCUAUAGGGUCUGUUCAAAAGUAGUGCACUAUAAAGAGAAUAGAGUGACAUUUGGGACACACACAUGAAGUCACUCUGUGACGGUUGGCAGCAGGACAUUCAAUCUCACCUAAAGAGUAUGGAGUGCAGUGUAAAUGUAAUACAGUCUUUGUAAUACAGUCAUGAUAUUCUCCCUUCAGGGAAGGUGGAGUUUGCUCUGACUGUGUUGAAGUCAGAACCUGAGCCAGAGAGUGAAGAGCCUGAUCAGUUGUUUCUAUUAGCUCUUAGUGAUACAGACAUACAGGUACUAGUGACAAGCUUUGCUAUCUCAUCAGACUUAAUAUAUUCAAAUCAACACAUUAAAUGUUGAUAACUGUGUGAGGCAAAUGUUAUGUUUGUGUGUCAAAUCAAUGAUACUUUUCAAAUAACCAAUUAGAUGGGUUCAUGCAGGUGACUGACUGAUCGUGUAUGGAGGAAUCCUCACUAUUACUGAUAAGCAACUUGGCAGUAUGCCCAGAAUGUUGCUAUGGGAACAACCAAGGUAUGUCAGUUUCAAGGUCUCAACUUGGAGAGAGAAGGCCUUGUGAGGUAUUGGUCAGUCACAUGUGCGAGCCACCGGUAAUGAUGAAUUAAUUAUGCUAAAUCAUGCAAAUAUAACUUCUCUGUAUAGCCGUAUAUAAGACAACUGCUGGGACUGCCCCAGCGGAGCUUCUGAUGUAACCUCUCCAGCUUGCUGAUAAUAAAGUUUGUGAUUCAUUUAAGUUUGACUUCAGGUGUCCCUGGUGUUGAAUUUCCACCACAAUCUUUGCAUCAUUGACAAUUGUCUGUAGGCAUUUUUAUAUGAGAAGUGUCUACGUGGUCUGAGAACCACUGAUAAUAGCAUAUUAUGUUAUUUUAGGCAUUUAUGAGAAGUGGUCAGGGAACCACUAGGAAUAGCAGAAGGUGGACAAGGAGUUAUUCUAUAUGUAUGGGAAGUGGCAAGACAAUAGAGUCUAUAGAGACCAUGGCAGUUAUGACUAUACAAACUAUUGAUACUAUGUAUGCUGAGGGACUGUAGAUGCUUUAGGGAUCAUAGAUGCUAUAACUAUAGGGACUAUGAAUGCUAUUGGGACUGGAUGCUGUAGAGAUCAUAGAUGCUGUAGCUAUAGGGACUAUGGAUGCUAUUGGGACUAUAGAUGCUCAGGGACUAUGGAUACUAUGGAGACGAUAGAGCAGGGGUGGGCAAUUCCAGUUCUUGAGGGCCUGAUUGGAGUCACAGUUUUGUCACAGCCCCAACUAACACACCUGACUCCAAUAAUCACCUAAUCAUGAUCUUCAGUUUAGAAUGCAAUUUGAUUAAUCAGCUGUGUUUGCUAGGGAUGGAGAAAAAGUGUGACACCAAUCAGGCCCCAGAGGACUGGAGUUGCAUACCCCUGCUAUAGAGGAACCGCAGAAGAUACAUAUGUAUGCAUAGGAGGUAAGUGGUUAGAGCGUUGGACUAGUAACCAGAAGGUUGCAAGUUCAAAUCCCCAAGCUGACAAGGUACAAAUCUGUCGUUCUGAACAGGCAGUUAACCCACUGUUCCUAGGCCGUCAUUGAAAAUAAGAAUUUGUUCUUAACUGACUUGCCUAGUUAAAUAAAGGUUAAAUUAAAAUAAAUAAAGUAAUAAGGGAUAUUACUGACUGUGUUUGGGAAUAGUACUAUGUGGAUGAGAGUAUUGUGUACUUGACUAAUUAACUGAACAGGGUUUUAGCCCCGGUGGGAUGACGUGUUAAGCUGGAGGUUUUUCCCCCGAAAGA
ensembl:lncRNA